GUGUGUGUGUGUGAUGAGCUGGUCUUUAGCGUCUGUCUGAUGUGUUUCAGCUCGGUGAGAAGGUGUUUCACACGGACCGAUGGGUGUCUCCGCUCACAGAGGAGCUGUUUAAUCUGCGGCCGCGAGAGGAGAUGCUGCGCAAGAAGUUCGGCUUCCUGCGGUACGUGUGACUCCAGCUAUCCCAGCAUCCCCUUCUGCGGCGUUUCCAGUGUUAGCCAUGUGUUGCUCUGUUCACACUGUAAAUGUUUCCAUAUUAAAUAUGAUUUCUUUUCCUCUCAAA